CCUACGGGAUGCAGCAGUGGGGAAUAUUGCACAAUGGGCGCAAGCCUGAUGCAGCCAUGCCGCGUGUAUGAAGAAGGCCUUCGGGUUGUAAAGUACUUUCAGCUGGGACGAUGAUGACGGUACCCGUAGAAGAAGCCCCGGCUAACUUCGUGCCAGCAGCCGCGGUAAUACGAAGGGGGCUAGCGUUGCUCGGAAUGACUGGGCGUAAAGGGCGCGUAGGCGGUUUAUGCAGUCAGAUGUGAAAUCCCCGGGCUUAACCUGGGAACUGCAUUUGAGACGCAUAGACUAGAGGUCGAGAGAGGGUUGUGGAAUUCCCAGUGUAGAGGUGAAAUUCGUAGAUAUUGGGAAGAACACCGGUGGCGAAGGCGGCAACCUGGCUCGAUACUGACGCUGAGGCGCGAAAGCGUGGGGAGCAAACAGGAUUAGAUACCCGCGUAGUC
rnacentral:rRNA from 1 species